rnacentral:rRNA from 1 species
AAGUGCUGGUCGCCUUAUGCAUGCAGUCGAACGGGGUUAUGGUUUUCGGAUUGUAACCUAGUGGCAGACGGCUGAGUAACACGUAAGUAACCCGCCUUGGAGUGGGAAAUAACCUGCCGAAAGGCAAGCUAAUGUCCCAUGUGGUAGUGAAGCGUAAGCUUCAUUACUAAAGCUGCAAAGCGCUCCAAGAGGGGCUUGCGUCUGAUUAGCUAGUUGGUAGGGUAACGGCCUACCAAGGCGAUGAUCAGUAGCUGGUCUGAGAGGAUGGUCAGCCAGAUGGGGACUGAGACACGGCCCCAACUCCUACGGGAGGCAGCAGCAAGGAAUUUUGGGCAAUGGACGAAAGUCUGACCCAGCGACACCGCGUGAGGGAAUAAGGCCUUCGGGUUGUAAACCUCUUUUCUUGGGGAAGAAUCUCGACGGUACCCAAGGAAUAAGCCUCGGCCAACUACGUGCCAGCAGCCGCGGUAAUACGUAGGAGGCGAACGUUAUUCGGAUUUACUGGGCGUAAAGGGAGCGUAGGCGGUUCCUUAAGUCAGAUGUGAAAUCUUCUGACUCAAUCAGAAGGCGCCAUUUGAUACUGAGGGACUUGAGAGCAGCAGAGGGAAAUGGAAUCUCCAGUGUAGCGGUGAAAUGCGUAGAUAUUGGAGAGAACACCAGUGGCAAAGGCGAUUUCCCAGGCUGUUUCUGACGCUGAGGCUCGAAAGCGUGGGGAGCGAAGCGGAUUAGAUACCCGCGUAGUCCACGCCCUAAACGGUGGACACUAGAUAUGGGAGGUAUCGACCCUUUCUGUGUCGAAGCUAACGCUUUAAGUGUCCCGCCUGGGGAGUACGGCCGCAAGGCUG